UUGCAAAGGUAGCAUAAUAAUUAGUUUAUUAAUUGUGAAAUUGUAUGAAUGAAUGAAUGAGGGUUUUAUUGUCUCAAUUUUAUUAUGUUGAAUUUUAUUUUUUUAUGAAAAAGUUAAAAUUUUAUAGGAGGACGAGAAGACCCUAUGAAUCUUUAGAAUAAUAACUUUAUAUAUUAAAGUGUUUAUUUUUGACUGGGGCGGUUGGUGAGAUUUUUAACUUCAUUUUUAUUUUUAAUUUUUGUAAAAAUAGAUUUUAUUUGAUUUUUAUUAUUGUGAAAUUAGAAGUUUAAGUUACUCUAGGGAUAACAGCGUAAUUGUUU
rnacentral:rRNA from 1 species